GCUCAUCCGCUCCCGACCCCGGCUGAUGCAGAUUACUCACUUCAUCUCAGUAAACAAAGCAGUGUCAGGAACCUUUUGUAACCCAUCUUCCUCACUCAAGGAGGUUCUCAGAGAAAUGGGAAUAGUCUAGACCACAUUGGGUACCUCAUAACAAAC